rnacentral:rRNA from 1 species
AGCGAACGCUGGCGGCAUGCUUAACACAUGCAAGUCGCACGGGCGGGGGCAACUCCGGUCAGUGGCGGACGGGUGAGUAACGCGUAGGAAUCUAUCCUUGAAUGGGGGACAACCGUGGGAAACUACGGCUAAUACCGCAUGAUGCCUGAGGGCCAAAGACGAAAGUCGUUUGAGGAGGAGCCUGCGUCUGAUUAGGUAGUUGGUGGGGUAAAGGCCUACCAAGCCUGCGAUCAGUAGCUGGUCUGAGAGGAUGAUCAGCCACAUUGGGACUGAGACACGGCCCAAACUCCUACGGGAGGCAGCAGUGGGGAAUAUUGGACAAUGGGCGAAAGCCUGAUCCAGCAAUGCCGCGUGUGUGAAGAAGGUCUUCGGAUUGUAAAGCACUUUUGGCAGGGACGAUGAUGACGGUACCUGCAGAAUAAGCCCCGGCUAACUUCGUG